rnacentral:rRNA from 1 species
CAGUCGCCGCGGGAAUACAGAGGAUGCAAGCGUUAUCCGGAAUGAUUGGGCGUAAAGCGUCUGUAGGUGGCUUUUCAAGUCCGCCGUCAAAUCCCAGGGCUCAACCGGGGAGGGUCAUUGGAAACUGGGAAACUUGAGUGCAGAAGAGGAGAGUGGAAUUCCACGUGUAGCGGUGAAAUGCGUAGAGGUGUGGAGGAACACCAGUGGCGAAGGCGACUCUCUGGUCUGUAACUGACGCUGAGGAGCGAAAGCGUGGGGAGCGAACAUGAUUAGAUACCCCAGUAGUCCCUGUCUCUUAUAC